CUUAAAGGAAUUGACGGGGACCCGCACAAGCGGUGGAUGAUGUGGUUUAAUUCGAUGCAACGCGAAAAACCUUACCUACCCUUGACAUGGCAGGAAUCCUGGAGAGAUCUGGGAGUGCUCGAAAGAGAACCUGCACACAGGUGCUGCAUGGCCGUCGUCAGCUCGUGUCGUGAGAUGUUGGGUUAAGUCCCGCAACGAGCGCAACCCUUGUCAUCAGUUGCUACGAAAGGGCACUCUGAUGAGACUGCCGGUGACAAACCGGAGGAAGGUGGGGAUGACGUCAGGUCCUCAUGGCCCUUAUGGGUAGGGCUACACACGUCAUACAAUGGCCGGUACAGAGGGCUGCCAACCCGCGAGGGGGAGCCAAUCCCAGAAAACCGGUCGUAGUCCGGAUCGCAGUCUGCAACUCGACUGCGUGAAGUCGGAAUCGCUAGUAAUCGCGGAUCAGCUUGCCGCGGUGAAUACGUUCCCGGGUCUUGUACACACCGCCCGUCACACCAUGGAG
rnacentral:rRNA from 1 species